UACGGGGGGGGCAAGCGUUGUUCGGAAUUACUGGGCGUAAAGGGCUCGUAGGCGGCCAACUAAGUCAGACGUGAAAUCCCUCGGCUUAACCGGGGAACUGCGUCUGAUACUGGAUGGCUUGAGUUUGGGAGAGGGAUGCGGAAUUCCAGGUGUAGCGGUGAAAUGCGUAGAUAUCUGAAGGAACACCGGUGGCGAAGGCGGCAUCCUGGACCAACACUGACGCUGAGUGAGCGAAAGCCAGGGGAGCAAACGGG
rnacentral:rRNA from 1 species